AGACCCGAAACCCGGUGAUCUAGCCAUGGGCAGGUUGAAGGUUGGGUAACACUAACUGGAGGACCGAACCGACUAAUGUUGAAAAAUUAGCGGAUGACCUGUGGCUGGGGGUGAAAGGCCAAUCAAACCGGGAGAUAGCUGGUUCUCCCCGAAAGCUAUUUAGGUAGCGCCUCGUGAAUUCAUCUCCGGGGGUAGAGCACUGUUUCGGCUAGGGGGCCAUCCCGGCUUACCAACCCGAUGCAAACUGCGAAUACCGGAGAAUGUUAUCACGGGAGACACACGGCGGGUGCUAACGUCCGUCGUGAAGAGGGAAACAACCCAGACCGCCAGCUAAGGUCCCAAAGUCAUGGUUAAGUGGGAAACGAUGUGGGAAGGCCCAGACAGCCAGGAUGUUGGCUUAGAAGCAGCCAUCAUUUAAAGAAAGCGUAAUAGCUCACUGGUCGAGUCGGCCUGCGCGGAAGAUGUAACGGGGCUAAACCAUGCACCGAAGCUGCGGCAGCGACACUGUGUGUUGUUGGGUAGGGGAGCGUUCUGUAAGCCUGUGAAGGUGUGUCGUGAGGCAUGCUGGAGGUAUCAGAAGUGCGAAUGCUGACAUAAGUAACGAUAAAGCGGGUGAAAAGCCCGCUCGCCGGAAGACCAAGGGUUCCUGUCCAACGUUAAUCGGGGCAGGGUGAGUCGACCCCUAAGGCGAGGCCGAAAGGCGUAGUCGAUGGGAAACGGGUUAAUAUUCCCGUACUUGGUGUUACUGCGAAGGGGGGACGGAGAAGGCUAUGUUGGCCGGGCGACGGUUGUCCCGGUUUAAGCGUGUAGGUGUGUGUUCCAGGUAAAUCCGGUUCACUUUAACACUGAGGCGUGACGACGAGGCACUACGGUGCUGAAGCAACAAAUGCCCUGCUUCCAGGAAAAGCCUCUAAGCAUCAGGUAACAUCAAAUCGUACCCCAAACCGACACAGGUGGUCAGGUAGAGAAUACCAAGGCGCUUGAGAGAACUCGGGUGAAGGAACUAGGCAAAAUGGUGCCGUAACUUCGGGAGAAGGCACGCUGACACGUAGGUGAAGUGAUUUACUCAUGGAGCUGAAGUCAGUCGAAGAUACCAGCUGGCUGCAACUGUUUAUUAAAAACACAGCACUGUGCAAACACGAAAGUGGACGUAUACGGUGUGACGCCUGCCCGGUGCCGGAAGGUUAAUUGAUGGGGUCAGCGCAAGCGAAGCUCCUGAUCGAAGCCCCGGUAAACGGCGGCCGUAACUAUAACGGUCCUAAGGUAGCGAAAUUCCUUGUCGGGUAAGUUCCGACCUGCACGAAUGGCGUAAUGAUGGCCAGGCUGUCUCCACCCGAGACUCAGUGAAAUUGAACUCGCUGUGAAGAUGCAGUGUACCCGCGGCAAGACGGAAAGACCCCGUGAACCUUUACUAUAGCUUGACACUGAACAUUGAGCCUUGAUGUGUAGGAUAGGUGGGAGGCUUUGAAGUGUGGACGCCAGUCUGCAUGGAGCCGACCUUGAAAUACCACCCUUUAAUGUUUGAUGUUCUAACGUGGACCCGUUACCCGGGUUGCGGACAGUGUCUGGUGGGUAGUUUGACUGGGGCGGUCUCCUCCUAAAGAGUAACGGAGGAGCACGAAGGUUGGCUAAUCCUGGUCGGACAUCAGGAGGUUAGUGCAAUGGCAUAAGCCAGCUUGACUGCGAGCGUGACGGCGCGAGCAGGUGCGAAAGCAGGUCAUAGUGAUCCGGUGGUUCUGAAUGGAAGGGCCAUCGCUCAACGGAUAAAAGGUACUCCGGGGAUAACAGGCUGAUACCGCCCAAGAGUUCAUAUCGACGGCGGUGUUUGGCACCUCGAUGUCGGCUCAUCACAUCCUGGGGCUGAAGUAGGUCCCAAGGGUAUGGCUGUUCGCCAUUUAAAGUGGUACGCGAGCUGGGUUUAGAACGUCGUGAGACAGUUCGGUCCCUAUCUGCCGUGGGCGCUGGAGAACUGAGGGGGGCUGCUCCUAGUACGAGAGGACCGGAGUGGACGCAUCACUGGUGUUCGGGUUGUCAUGCCAAUGGCACUGCCCGGUAGCUAAAUGCGGAAGAGAUAAGUGCUGAAAGCAUCUAAGCACGAAACUUGCCCCGAGAUGAGUUCUCCCUGAGACUUAAAGUCUCCUGAAGGAACGUUGAAGACGACGACGUUGAUAGGCCGGGUGUGUAAGCGCAGCGAUGCGUUGAGCUAACCGGUACUAAUGAACCGUGAGGCUUAACC
rnacentral:rRNA from 1 species